rnacentral:rRNA from 1 species
AUUGAACGCUGGCGGCAUGCCUUACACAUGCAAGUCGAACGGCAGCACGGGAGCAAUCCUGGUGGCGAGUGGCGAACGGGUGAGUAAUAUAUCGGAACGUGCCCAGUAGUGGGGGAUAACUGCUCGAAAGAGCAGCUAAUACCGCAUACGACCUGAGGGUGAAAGGGGGGGAUCGUAAGACCUCUCGCUAUUGGAGCGGCCGAUAUCAGAUUAGCUAGUUGGUGGGGUAAAGGCCUACCAAGGCAACGAUCUGUAGUUGGUCUGAGAGGACGACCAGCCACACUGGGACUGAGACACGGCCCAGACUCCUACGGGAGGCAGCAGUGGGGAAUUUUGGACAAUGGGCGCAAGCCUGAUCCAGCAAUGCCGCGUGCAGGAAGAAGGCCUUCGGGUUGUAAACUCCUGUCAUUCGGGAACAAUAGUUUGGCAUUAAUACUGCCAAAAAGUGAUGGUACCGGAAGAGGAAGCCACGGCUAACUCUGUGCCAGCAGCCGCAGUAAGAC